rnacentral:lncRNA from 1 species
UGAUCAGACAGGCACUUCCUCAUCAGUGGACACACCAGACUCUCCUUUAUCAGUCAUACAAAGAGAAUGUUCUAAUACCUCCCAUCGAAAAGAGAGCUGGCCCAAGCAAGCACAGGUUAAACCUGAAGCAUGAGGACUUGCAGCGAGUGGUAAACUUCAACAACUACGCAGAGGAUAAUGCAAUAGUAUUACCAGGAUGCCACCCAGGACACAAACACUUUGGUGGAAAGCUGCUGCCAUCCCAUGUGACAAAAGCAGCAGUAUGGUGUCUCUACAAGGAAUCAAUGACAACACUUGCAAAUAAUCUGGACCUUCACUUCCUGAUCACAGGCCACACCAAGUUUGCCCCGACUGGUGCAGGGCCUCAUCAAGCAGUGCUUCAGAAAGACCAGAGUGAAUACUUUGUCUGAGAUUGCUGGUGUUGUGAAGGACAGCACUGUGACAGGGGUAAACAUCCCAGUGGUGGUCCGCCUGUUAUCGAAACCUGGAGGUGGUCUUGAGAAGAGCGGCCUGGGCUCUCUUCCAGUUGCGGCGACAGCAACGGACGAACAUCUGGGCAGAAG